rnacentral:tRNA from 1 species
AAGGGUAUAGCUCAGUGGUAGAGUGCAUGCUUAGCAUGCAUGAGGUCCUGGGUUCAAUCCCUAGUACCUUCA